UACGUAGGGUGCAAACGUUGUUCGGAAUCACUGGGCAUAAAGAGCGCGUAGGCGGUCUGACAAGUCCCCUGUGAAAGCCCCCGGCUUAACCGGGGAACUGCAUGGGAUACUGUUGGGCUAGAGUGCAGGAGGGGAGAGCGGAAUUCCUGGUGGAGCGGUGAAAUGCGUAGAUAUCAGGAGGAACGCCGGCGGCGAAAGCGACUCUCUGGCCUGUAACUGACGCUGAGGCGCGAAAGCUAGGGGAGCAAACAGG
rnacentral:rRNA from 1 species